UGAUGCUAAUACUGAAUGUUUUCCUACCUCA
rnacentral:piRNA from 1 species